rnacentral:rRNA from 3 species
AAAUUGAAGAGUUUGAUCAUGGCUCAGAUUGAACGCUGGCGGCAGGCCUAACACAUGCAAGUCGAACGGUAACAGGAAGCAGCUUGCUGCUUCGCUGACGAGUGGCGGACGGGUGAGUAAUGUCUGGGAAACUGCCUGAUGGAGGGGGAUAACUACUGGAAACGGUGGCUAAUACCGCAUAACGUCGCAAGACCAAAGAGGGGGACCUUCGGGCCUCUUGCCAUCAGAUGUGCCCAGAUGGGAUUAGCUUGUUGGUGAGGUAACGGCUCACCAAGGCGACGAUCCCUAGCUGGUCUGAGAGGAUGACCAGCCACACUGGAACUGAGACACGGUCCA